rnacentral:rRNA from 1 species
GAUGAACGCUGGCGGCGUGCCUAAUACAUGCAAGUCGAGCGAUCGGACGAGAAGCUUGCUUCUCGGAUGUUAGCGGCGGACGGGAGAGUAACACGUGGAUAACCUAUCUAUAAGACUGGGAUAACUUCGGGACACCGGAGCUAAUCCCGUAUAAUUUUAUGAACCGUAUGGUUCAAUAGUGAAAGACGGUCUUGCCAUCACUUAUAGAUGGAUCCGCGCUGUAUCAUCUAGUUGGUAAGGUAACGGCUUACAAAGGCAACGGUGCAUAGCCGACCUGAGAGGGUGUUCGGCCACACUGGAACUGAGACACGGUCCAGACUCCUAGGGGAGGCAGCGUUAGGAAAUCUUCGGCAAUGGGGGAAAUCCUAACGGAGCAACGCCGCGUGAGGGAUGAAGGUCUUGGGAUCGUAAAACUCUGUUAUAAGGGAAGAACAUAUGUGUAAGUAACUGUGCACAUCUUGACGGUACCUAAUCAGAAAGCCACGGCUAACUACGUG